GACUCUGUCCUCAUUGUAGAGCGGAGGUGUGGACUCCAGGCCCGGACUGGAGAAGGUCGAGGGGGAUCCUGACCCAGAGCAUGCAAGAAGGCAGGUUACACAGGAGCAAGUGGAGGAAAGCAGACCUCAGUGCUCUGCCAUCUGUGAAGCUCAGCCUAAGGGUGACCUUCAGGAGCCCCCUCACUGUGACCAGGAGUGGGAAGCCCUGGGCCUCUCCUUCCUGUUCAGGAGGCAGUGGAGCUGAGCCUGUGUUGCAGCUGCUCCCUCAGGUGGUCAUUACAAAUGGUGGAGUCCUCCAGGUGCUGGCUAAGGUUCCGGAUUUCACCAAGAUGCUCCUGUGGCAGGAGCCUGAACUGAGUCCACACACUGAACUCACAGACCUGCAGGAGGAGAUGGAAGAAAGAAAAUCAGCAGGUUUUGAGGAUGAGAAGAACCCAAGUAAUGGCAGAGGAGGUGCUGUGCAAGAGAGCUGCAUGGCCUUUCCUGGCUCCAUGGCCCUGGUUCCAGCCAGAUUCGGGGCUCUCAGGGUGCAGAUGACACCCGGACUCCAUGUUGCCUUAAAGCAGUCCACACUGCCCAGGUCUCCAGAGAAAACCGCAAAGAUCUGUAACUCCGACUAUGUCUUGGGGAAGUGGAGAAAUAAUGAGAUUGCUGCAGUAGCAUCCAGGACUGUCAGUGGAAGUGGGGAAUGA
rnacentral:lncRNA from 1 species